GUCGCUACGAAAUCUGGGCUCCUUUUCCCAAUGUAACACAACCAUGCACCAUGCGAGUGCGGAUGGCCCCUAGGGGACCCGUUACGACAAAAACGGUGUGGACGUGGCUUUUACAGCUCUUUCAACCUGGAUGGAGAUGGAAGUGGGAUUCUCUCGGAGAUGGGUAACAGGAUUAUCGUUAGGGACCUGACAGGAAGCGGCAGUGCCAGUGCUCAUUUUUAUUACAUGUAAUCCCUCUCCCCUGGCGGCUGCGGGCAUUCACUUCCACCAGUGGAGCCGUAGGUUCUCCUCCUGGUGUACGGCUACAGCUCCUCCAGCUGGCGGCCAACUCGGAACACUCUGGGGUCCGCCGGCUGCGUGCACAAAAGUAAC
rnacentral:lncRNA from 1 species